rnacentral:lncRNA from 1 species
GGCGGCGGCGGGUCGAUCUGGAUCCGAUCCAGGGCGCGACGGGGCGGAGGUGCUCGGCGAGCAGGCGGCUGCGGCGUCCGGAGGGACUGGCAGGCGAGGCACGCGGCGGGGGUGGCUGCCGGCGCGAGCUGCGGCGACGCAAGGAGAGGCAGGGAGAGCGGGGAGGCGCAGGAGGCAGGGCGGCGCGGCUGCUCGCGGGGGCGGCGCUCCGGAUCUGGGCGGAGCUCCGGAGGAGGCAGGGCUGGGGGCGACGGCUUCGGCAGCUCGCCGGCGGCGGGAUCCGGCGUGGAUCAGGG